rnacentral:tRNA from 2 species
GAGGCUAUGGCUCAAUGGCGGAGCAUCUGACUGUGGAUCAGAGGGUUGUGGGUUCGACCCCCACUAGCCUCC